UACAGGGGGGGCAAGCGUUGUUCGGAAUUACUGGGCGUAAAGGGUCAGUAGGCGGCCAACUAAGUCCGACGUGAAAUCCCAAAGCUUAACUUUGGAACUGCGUCGGAUACUGGAUGGCUUGAAUUCGGGAGAGGGAUGCAGAAUUCCAGGUGUAGCGGUGAAAUGCGUAGAUAUCUGGAGGAAUACCGGUGGCGAAGGCGGCAUCCUGGACCAUUACUGACGCUGAGGCGCGAAAGCUAGGGGAGCAAACGGG
rnacentral:rRNA from 1 species